UUUCUUAAUUUUGGUUGACAUUUCUCUUGUUGUCCGGAGGAUUCAGCGCUAUUCCUCCCCUGUAGCCACCUGGCAUUCCCUCUCACACUCAGCAAUCCGAACCAGUAUAAACCCUCUGUGUUCCUCUGACUCCAGAGGUUUCCUUGUGUGCAAAGG
rnacentral:lncRNA from 1 species